GAUGAACGCUAGCGGCAGGCUUAACACAUGCAAGUCGAGGGGUAUAGUUCUUCGGAACUAGAGACCGGCGCACGGGUGCGUAACGCGUAUGCAAUCUACCUUUUGCAGAGGGAUAGCCCCAGAGAAAUUUGGAUUAAUACCUCAUAGUAUAGCAGUUUCGCAUGAAACCACUAUUAAAGUCACAACGGCAAAAGAUGAGCAUGCGUCCCAUUAGCUAGUUGGUAAGGUAACGGCUUACCAAGGCUACGAUGGGUAGGGGUCCUGAGAGGGAGAUCCCCCACACUGGUACUGAGACACGGACCAGACUCCUACGGGAGGCAGCAGUGAGGAAUAUUGGACAAUGGGCGCAAGCCUGAUCCAGCCAUGCCGCGUGCAGGAAGAAGCAUCUAUGGGUGUGUAAACUGCUUUUGUACGGGAAGAAACACUCCUACGUGUAGGAGCUUGACGGUACCGAAGAAUAAGGAUCGGCUAACUCCGUGCCAGCAGCCGA
rnacentral:rRNA from 1 species